UUAAAGGAAAAGCGGCGGCGUCACGUGAGCGAGAGCGCCAGCCUCGGGCUUAAAGUGGCACCGUUGCUCUGUUCCUGUAAAAUUGGGAACCGAACACUUUCUCUGACUCUAAUGGCUUUGUUUUUCAGAAGUGAAAUAGGACCUUGGCCGCUGUGGCGAUUUCUGGUACAUUCUGUGCCUGGAAGUUUAAAAUCAGGCCCAAAGGAAGUGAGGUAUCGCUAGCUUUCAAAGUGUUACUAUUGGAUCCUCCCCCAUUCUGGACCACCACUGGUGUCCAAAUGGCUCAGAAGGUGGGCUCACAGCGCCCUCUAGUGUCACAGAGCCAGUCAGCCCUAAAAAGAAGGCGAGAGGCCCCCAGAGGUGGCGCCCAGGAUUGCCACCCAGAUCAUGACCAUCUCCACUAGCAGGGGGACACACUUGCUUCCAAUCAUCACCCUGGGGGCAAGCCGCCUGGUCUUGCUCAAUCAUCUUACGAUCGGUGUGCAGUGAGGCAGCUGUGGCCACAGAAGAGCUUUUGUCUAUACAGAGCCAACUGGCCAAGAAAGAUGGCCAGCACAUUAGGUUGACAUCAGCAGACAUCUGUCAGUUGUGACCUCAUUAGCACCACGCUCUUGGCCCUCCAACUAGCCUUAGAGGAAGUGGAAGGAAAAUGAGAUCAGGAUCAGGUAUUCAGCUAAGUCAAGAUCAGAGCCUAAGGAAAGAAUUAC